UUGAUGCUCUUGUGAUGUAUCUCAAGGAUGAAGGUUCAAGAAAGUGAUUGGUUGACACCUUUCAUAGGCCUAUGGCUUAAUGGGUUUCGCCCAUUAGUGUUUUAGGUUUGAUUCCUAGUCUAUAAAUAGGGAUGUUCACUAGCCAUUUUUUUGUGUCUUGAAUUGUAGAGAGAAGGAAAAACAAAUAAAUUUUGUGUCUUGUGUACUUUUGGUUUCGUUUUUUAACUAUAUUACUUACUAACAAAUGGUAUUAGAGUUGCGGUUAGUGUUCUUUUGAUUGAAGAUGUCAACUCUUAAGUUUGAUUUGUAGAAGUUCAAUGGUUCCAACGACUUCACUUUAUGGAAAAAGGAGAUGAAGACUCGUCUGGUUCAAUAUGGUACGCCCUCCAUGACUACACUUAGGGAUCCUUCUUUUAAGAACAUUCUCAGUGUACACGGUAAUUGGGUUAUCAAGUUCUACUACAAAGGUAAAUACAAUAUAUUUACAUGCAAUGAUGAUGAUGAUGAUGAUGAUGAUGAUGAUGUGUGUGUGUGUGUGUGUAUAUAUAUAUAUAUAUAUAUAUAUAUAUAUAUAUAUAUAUAUAUAUAUAUAUAUAUCAUCUUCUUUAUCUUAUAAAGCUAGUCUACAUAUAAAGGAAACAUUUAUAAGAAAACACUUUUCGUUUCACCACAUUAAUUUGAAACUCCCAUUCAUUUUUCGUUAACCACAUUCAUUUGAAACUCCCAUAAAUUUUCAAUUUCUUUCUAAUAAUAAAUUUAAGUUAGUUAAUAAGGUUAAAUAAAUAUCAAACCUAAAUUAUAAUCAUAUAUAAACUAAAUUUCAAUAUUAAAAUAAUAUUUUUGCUUCCACUUAUAAAGUUAUGCUUUUUAAGUUCCAACAUAUUAUACUUAAUUUAUUAGUUUUAGUAUAUUGAUGGAUGUAAACCAUUAUCAUUUUAAAGAUACAAUUUUGGACUGAUUUAUAUAAAAUACUUAAAUUGUUAAUUUAAAUAUAACAUUACAGGGUUAACUUAAAUAUAAAUUUUUGUUUAAAUUAAACAACCCAUAAAAUAUUUUGUAAAUAGUUAAAAGUGAUAAAUUAUAGUGUCUUUCAAAUAAUAAUUAAAAGUUGGUUAAUAAGGUUAAAUAAAUAUCAAACCUAAAGUUUGAUCAUAAAUAAAUUAAAUUUCAAUUUUAAAAUAAUAUCUGAUAAUUUGUAGUGAUAAAUGCAUAAACUAAAUUGUAAUCUCAAUUUAUCUAAAAUAUUUUUUAAAGAUAUUUUUAUAAUCGUUAAAAGUUUUCACAUAAUCAGCUUAAAAUAACUUACAAUAACAAUAGCUAAAAAUAACUCUAUAUAAAUAAUUAUAUUGUUACCUUUAAAAUAAAAAAACAAUAUUUCAUGUUUUAAAUAAUUAUAAUGAUAGAAAUUAGAACAUUAAGCAAAUAAGUUUUAAAAAAUUAAUUUACAAUAACAACUAUAAAUAACACUAAACCAUAUGUUAUAUUUAAUUUUAUUUAGGUGUAGCUCGCAGGUAGAAGUCAUUUAAAUGACUGAGAUUAUGUAGUUAUAAUACGUGUAUAUAUUAUCAUAUAAUUCAAAAUAAUCAAGAAUAUAUUAACUUAGUAUACAAAUUAUUAUAUCAAAUUUAACAACGUUAUUAUUAUAUUUUAAAAAAGCAUAUAUUUGUAAAGACUUCAACUAUAUAGGUUUUUCUGCAUAAUGCGCGGGCAUUCGCCUAGUAUACUUAUAAAGGAAACAUUUUUCAUUUCACCAUAUUCAUUUGAAACCCCCAUGCAUUUUUUUUCACCACAUUCAUUUGAAACUUUCAUGACUUUUCAAUUUCUUUCAAAUAAUAAUUAUAAGUUGGUUAAUAAGGUUAAAUAAAUAUCAACUCUAAAGUGUAAUCAUAUAUAAACUAAAUUUCAAUAUUAAAAUAAUAUAUUUGCAUUUACUUAUAAAGUUAUGUUUCUUAACUUUUAACUUAUUAUACUCUAUUUAUUAUUUUUACUAUAUUAUUGGAUGUAAACAAUUAUCAUUUUAAAGAUACCAUUAUGGAACAAUUUUGUAGAAGUCGAAUUUAGUUGUGAUGUGUCGAAUGUCAUUUUAAUGUUUCAUUAGUUUGUAACUUUAUUACAAGGGCACAUUUGUUGCGAAGCUUAAUAGAAUAGCCCUUUGUAUUUUUUUUUUGCUUUCAUCUUUCCUAUAAAUAGGGAAGUGUACUAGAGUAGAUAAGGACUUUCGCUUUGCUCAUUCGGGUAAACUUGUCUAUUCUCUUUGUACUCAUUGAAAGCUAAUCAGAGCCAAACAUAUUAUAUUUACUUCUUGGGUUCAUCAAUCAUUCUAUACUCUGAUCUUAUAUAUAUGUAUAUAUAUAUAUAUAUAUAUAUAUAUAUAUAUAUAUAUAUAUAUAUAUAUAUAUAUAAAUAUAUACCUCCUCUAAUAAACAAAACCGUAAUAUGCCACAUGUCCCUCUUCUACCUAUCUACUUUGCCACGUGGCAUCCUUUCAUGCACCCUUUGAUUUAUUCCUAGAUAUAAGACCUUCUGGUUCUAUUAAUCUAUCCCUUAAUCGAGGUAUUACUAUCAUUUACGCUGGAUUAUUAUGGUAACAACUCUAUCAAUUCAAUAUAUUCCAUGACAAAUUAGCAUUUAAUCUUCUCCAAUUUUGUAAUCAAUCGGUUCAUAUAUGCAUCCUGUAUUAUAUAUAUUCCUCAAUGACUAAUCAUUCUCGAUUCUUGAUUCAAGCUUAGUAGGGUAUCAUUCUUCUUCUUCUAACUUUGUUUUUAACUAUAAACCUGAUCAAAAAUGACAUCGAUUUCAAAUAUGACAUGUGCAAGUAAUGGAAAUUUGAUAUCUUGAUUCUACAAAGUCUUAAAAUGCCUUCAAGUUUGUUGGAUUGUGAGUCAUGUUACUAUGUAACUGCAUAUAUUUCUCAUAUUUUUUAGAUAAGGAAGAACUCAAGCAAUUUUGUAGAACUUGAUGAGCUUCUAAUGUUGCCCAUCAAAAUUCGAGAUUAACAAGGUUCUCUUCUCUUCUCUGUCUCACGUAUCUUACAUACCAAGUCCUCAUAGAAGUUUUUUUCUACAUAUGUUUUUGGGGUCUCUUAGUAGAUAACACAUGCCUAUAUGCUAAAGAUUUGAACAAAAAUCUUUUUUUCAAGUAUAACUUUUAGUUUUUAUGUUUAUAGAUUAAUUGUUUGAUGAAAUGUCUUAGUAAAUUAAAAGUCAUUUUUAUUUGAAUGAAUAAUAAAUAAGUUCUUAUUGGGGAAAAAAGUUGCAGGUUGGCAUACCUUUCUUCAGAUUAACUAUUAUUAUGAUAUUUAAAUGUCUUUGCAAUCUUGCUGGAGGAUCAAACCUCAAGCAAUGAUAUAUGCAGACUGGGAUGUUAUACAACAAGUUAAAAAUGAAGAGUAUGAAAAGAAAAUAUGUCAACUUGAUCUUGCUUCCUCCUUUAGCAUGUUUAAAAGGAAUAUGUGACAUUUUUAGAAAUUUAAACCAUAAUCCUAGCUAUCUUACGAUAUUUGUAUUAAAAAAUUGGACAAAAAUUGUCAGAUCUUAUGGUUGGAUAGAAUGGGCGGGAUAAAAACUCACCUUACAAAUGAUAAUUGCCGAAGAAAAAAAAAUAUUUUUUUGUUAACUCUAUUUUUAGUACUUGUUAUUUUUAAUGAUUAGUUUAGUUGGAUAUGACUAUUUAAAGUCACGUUAGUUAUUUUUGUAUAUUUUUUAGCAUUAGGUGUAUUUUUGUCAUAGAAAUCAUGGCCAUAAAAGACGUCAAUUUUGUGGAACUUAUAUACUCGAUUACUUUUAGAAAUCAUGGCCUAGUUCUUUGUAGAGGUUUCUAUUUUUUGGAGCUUUGUUGUUGUGUUUAAUCAUCAUAAAAUUUUCAUCCGAUGGUGCUCUAAUUUCUAGACUUUCAUCUUUGGUCUGAUUAUUUUGUCCAUUUUACACGUAUGGAAUCGUUUUUUCUUGCUAUGUUUAGUUUAGGAGCUCUUAUUGGUGUUAUUUGAAUACAACGAGGUUGUCUCAUGUUUAAAUGGGAGGUUCAUUUUUAUAAUGUAUGGUCAUUCUAAAAAUAAAAAUUACACUUAAAAUUUU